AGAACGAACGCUGGCGGCAUGCCUAAUACAUGCAAGUCGAACGAACUCUUCGGAGUUAGUGGCGCACGGGUGCGUAACGCGUGGGAAUCUGCCCCUUGGUUCGGAAUAACAGUUGGAAACGACUGCUAAUACCGGAUGAUGACGAAAGUCCAAAGAUUUAUCGCCAAGGGAUGAGCCCGCGUAGGAUUAGCUAGUUGGUGAGGUAAAGGCUCACCAAGGCAACGAUCCUUAGCUGGUCUGAGAGGAUAGAUCAAGCCACACUGGGACUGAGACACGGCCCAGACUCCUACGGGAGCAGCAGUAGGAA
rnacentral:rRNA from 1 species